rnacentral:rRNA from 1 species
AUCACUGUAACGCCCUGAGUGUUGCGGAUGUUUCGCAGAAGUUGACCGAACUUGAUUAUUUAGAGGAAGUAAAAGUCGUAACAAGGUUUCCGUAGGUGAACCUGCGGAAGGAUCAUNAAAGUUCUCCUUUCAAGUUAUAAACAAAAACACAAUAUAUAAAAUACUUAUAUUGUAAAAUUAUGGCAAAUGCCAAAAAGAAACAAAAUAACAAUAAUAAAAAUGUUUAUUAUUGUAUCGCCUCCUAGGCAAAAAAGUAUAGUAUAAAGUGUUUGUGUGUGUUACACAUUACACAAAAAUUGACUUAUUUAUAUAAAAUUUGUAAAAACUGAAAUUGUGUGGACGUUAUACAAAAUUAAUUUGUAUAGAAAAUGUCUAAAAAUUUGAAAUACAUAAAAUUAUAGUUGUACUUGUAUAAAAUUGAAAAGUAAUUUUUUAUAUAAGUCAAUCAUUGUUCGUUUUUUAAGAACUUGAGACAUUCGCAACAAAAAUUUUAUGUUUUAGUUAUAAAAGAGAAGAAUAAUAAGCAAAAAUUAUUGAAGGAAUUGAUAUAUGCCAAUUUGA